UUGAGAGAUCACAACAUGGCUGCGCCCGUCGUGUUAUCGAGAUGGAGCUGAGCCUUUGAUGUGAGAAGCGGUUUGUUUAUUUUUAACUUUAAAAAUCUGCUGGACUCCCGAAGUGUAAAAGUGGACAAGAAGCACGCCAUCACCACUGCAAAGAUUGCUGCGAACUUAAUCUAUUUUCAUGGGGAUCCUGGAUCUGAGUUGUGAACGUUACUGACCGCCAACUCCAGUGAACACUAGCUUUUCAAUGGGAGAAGAAUUAUACUGGUCUGACAGCUUUGUGCUUUGAAAUGGAGAAGGAUUAACUGAAGGACUUCACUUGUGCAUCUCCAAACGAUGGAAUUCUGAAAAAUUGUUCCAGAAAAAGAAACAUCCACUCUGCAAGAACUUUGUCCAUCCACUUUGGCACCUUGUAUACUUCAAUCAGACCUUCUAAACUUCAGGUCAAAACUGUUCAACCUCUUUUCAUAAGAUAAACCACUCAUCUCUGAAAUCAAUCUACUGAAUCUCCUCUGAACUGCCUCCAGUGUAAUUGCACCCUCCUCACAAUUGCAGCCUCAGAAUAUGAUGAUUAAAAGCACUGCGGAGCUGAGAAGCAUUUUCUGCUGUGAAGAUUUUGUCAGUGUUUAAAAAGAAUAGAAUCCAGAAACCAAGACCACUAUUCAAACUCCAGCUUCAAACCAGUAUCAGAAUUUAAAAUCAUUGUUGAAACUCCAGUUUCUAUGAGUGAAGGUGCUUAGCUCAGCUGCCUGGAUGGCUGGUGUGCAAGCAAAGUGAUGGCUUCGAUUCACACACCAGCUGCAGUUACCGUGAAGAUUGUCCUUCUCAACUUGUACUGAGGUCUGGUGAACCUCAGGGCAAAAGACCAUCUCUCUGUACUGAGGGAGCAGUUACGUUUUAUCUAAUAUCAGAGUCUCAGACCACUGUACAAACUUCAGCUCCUACACAAAAUCAAUGUCUAAGACUACUGCUUAAGCCCCAGCUUCUACCCAAUAACAGAGUCUAAGAUCAUUGCUUAAACCCCUGUUUUCAAUCAAUAUAAAACUGCAAGGUCACCGAUGAAGUGAGCAUUAUUUUUGGUUUUUACAAAUCUUUAUAAUUUUAAAUUGAUGCUUUAGAAAGCAUCUUAUGGGCAGAGUUUUCUAAACUGUAGCAUUAUUAGAGUGAUAAAUAGAGAAUGCAUAAAUGAAUGAAUAAAUAGAGAAUCUCUUUCCGUGGCUCUUUUAACUUUCGGGUUCUCCAGCAAAUUAGAGGAGACAAAUCUGUUGAAGGAAGACAUUUUUAUUCAAAUAGCGGAACUGGACAUGGAAUUUUGAAGCUGUAAAAACCAUUAGAAUGGAAUAGACCUGGGAAGAUUUCUCCCUGGUUGCGGGUUCUGUAGGACUGUUAUGAUUUUCCCAAUGAUGGAAGGAAGAGGACACCAUGACCAGUCAAGCACAGUGGAUGGAAGCCGAUGUGUGACCCUUCAGCCUGGAGACUGUGCAUCAAGAGGGCCCAGGGCCUCGGAAAGGUGGAAAAUGUGAAUGGCAUGGGAAUUUCCCAAUGCUGAGACCACACUGAAUUCCUCAGGGUUCUCCUGCAAGCACUCCUUAACUCAGUGCACCUUGCAACCCCACCCAUUCAUCUCUCUUCAGGUAGCUAUCCAAACCUUAAACUCAUCUCAACAUUAAACAGUCUCUCACCCUAAUAUUCUGGUAUCCAUGCCUCCUAGUCCCAAACCCUUCAAAAACUGUGUUCUUCCCUCCUAUCUACAUAAGCCAAUGCUUCCAUUAUAACUCUUGAGUUUCUCCCAAUGGAGGAAUAAAGCACACAAGCUUGGAAAGAGAUUCUUUUGUAUAUAACAGUAGUUUUAAGGAAGGUUAUUUUAUCAAACAGAAUUUAGUGUGUUCUGAAGUGGGAAGGAAGUGGCUAGACUAUUUUCCUCUGUUUUUUCAAUACAUCAUCCUCUACCCAUUUGAACUGUUUUACAUUUAAAUCUUUAUCCAUCUUAAGUUGGAAGGGAGAAAGUACACACCAAUUUUCUAACAAAUCUCUUAUUGCAACUCCUUAGCCCCAGCAGAAAACAUAGUUUUGCUUUUCUGAUACCUUUAGUUUUUCCUUUCAUUGGAACUACUUCGUUUUCUCACCUAAUAAACUGGCCAAAUUCAGAUUCUUCACACAGGUGAUGUAUAUUGCUAUAUCAGCACAGUUGAAACAUGUUCAGAUAAUAAUGCACAAUUGCCUUAAAUAUGGCAAUAUCAUUUUUUAUUUAAAACAAAGAAAACCCCUAGGACUUUUAGUUUCCACUCAUACCAAGAUUUUGUUAGGAAGUUACAAAGAUCAUGAAGUCCCACACUCUUUUCCCCCAUUUCCCCCUUCCUCAGCCAUUGUUCUCAGAGCUCUAUUUCUAACCUGCUUUCAUCUGAAAUCUUGGUCAUUGAGACAGUUUCAAAGUGCAUUUAAUUUUGGAAGGGAGAGGUUGUCGAAUUUUAAUGGAAAAAAAACACAUUUCAAUGUUUGAGUGCUUCAAAUGUUCCAGUCCUUUAAUGGUUCCAAGAAUUUCCACAGGAAUGCCCAAUAGCACAUAUCUCUUUCAUAUUACACUGCUGACAGCUGAUAUUUCACUCAUGGUAUUAGAAUAUUCUGGAUAAUAUAAUAUCUAACAGAUUUUUAAUUUUCAUUAAAGAACAAAAUACUGAAUUAUUAAAUCUGUUCAAUUAUUUUUAUAUGGUUGCUUCACCCAAGAGGUGAUUUGGGGAAUUAAGUUGGUUGUAAUAACCUCAAGCAAUACAAAUUUUUAAAUUUCUGUCUAGUUAAACACAUAGUGUGAGCCAAAAGUCGAGUAGGUAUGAUUCACAAAGAAAGAUUCCUACAAUAACCCCGCUGUAAUUGACUGCUUAAGUGUCAUUGAUUCUUUCCAGAUACAACACUAUAAUAAUUGAUAUAUGCAUAAGGAUUGAAUUCUAGUGCUCUCAUGACUCUGAGACUUGCUUGGAAAUGUGAUUUUCAACAAAACUCAAGUUUAUUGAAGUCAAAUGAAAACUGUUUCAUUGGAGGAGGCUCCUACUUCUAUCUUGUGUGUAUGUAAUUUUCAGUGGGCCAUGAGGGAUGACAGAAGAAUGGGAUAUUUUCAUUGUUUGUGAUUACAGCAGGUUUAACUUCCUGCUGUCAAUUGGGGAAGUGGAAUCCGAACAAAAGGGGGCAUUUUAAAAAAGAAAACAUAGGCCAUAAUUAGUAUUGAUCACCUUUCUGAUUCAGUAACUUGCUUUUAUAUUCAGGUAGGGCCAAUGGAAUGAAAGCUUUCACUCAAAGAUGUAACAAAUCUAUCAAAUUAGAGUGGACAAUUCCAAUGUGGUUGUGAGAGCAAUUCAGUCACCAGAAUUAAAAUUGAUAAAAUUGUCAAGGAAAAUUAACAAUCAUGCCCAGUCAUUUAGAUAUACAAUUCUAAUGACAUAUUAUUGAAAAGAUGUUGUCUCUAUCCAGCCUAUGCUAAAUAUAACCUAAAAGUGAGCUGAAUAUACUUUGAAUCACUGAUAUCCCUUUUGGAAAUUAUAAAAUUUACACCCAUGUAUUAAGAAAACCAAACGAACCAUGGAUGCUGUAAAUCGGAAACGAAAAUAAAAGUUGCUGGAAAAGCUCAUCAGGUCUGGCAGCAUUGUGAAGAGAAAUCAGAGUUAACAUUUUGGGUUGGGUGACUCUUCCUUAGUUCUAAGUUAUCUCUCUCUCUCUGUCUCUCUAAGGCCCUGUGUAUUAACAUACAAAUUUCUGUGUACGCAAGGGCAUCACACUUCAAACCAGAUUGAAACAAAAAAAACAGAAUUGCUGGAGAAAUUCAGUUCGGGCAACAUCUGUCAAGAAUGCAGAGCUAUCACUUUUUCAGGUUCAAUAACCUAUCUUCAGAACUGAUGGUGGCUAGGUAAAGGUGGUAUGCCAUGCGAUAGGUAGAGAUGGAGUUCACACGCGCACAGAGAGAGAGAGUCAUAGAGAUGUACAGCACGGAAACAGACCCAGUGGUCCAACCUGUACAUGCC